rnacentral:rRNA from 1 species
GACGAACGCUGGCGGCGUGCUUAACACAUGCAAGUCGAACGGAAAGGCCCUGCUUUUGUGGGGUGCUCGAGUGGCGAACGGGUGAGUAACACGUGAGUAACCUGCCCUUGACUUUGGGAUAACUUCAGGAAACUGGGGCUAAUACCGGAUAGGAGCUCCUGCUGCAUGGUGGGGGUUGGAAAGUUUCGGCGGUUGGGGAUGGACUCGCGGCUUAUCAGCUUGUUGGUGGGGUAGUGGCUUACCAAGGCUUUGACGGGUAGCCGGCCUGAGAGGGUGACCGGGCUCCAUAGGACUGCGAGAGGGCCCAGUAUCCUACCGGAGGCAACGGGGGAGAAUAUUGCGCAAUGGCCCGGAGUCUGAUACAACGAUGCCGGGUUCGGAAAGCUCGGCUUUGGGUUAAAAACCACUUUCGACUUAACCAAAGCCUGCGUGACGGUAAUGGGUCAAGAAGCACCGGCUAACUACGUG